rnacentral:rRNA from 2 species
AAAUUGAAGAGUUUGAUCAUGGCUCAGAUUGAACGCUGGCGGCAGGCCUAACACAUGCAAGUCGAACGGUAACAGAAAGCAGCUUGCUGCUUUGCUGACGAGUGGCGGACGGGUGAGUAAUGUCUGGGAAACUGCCCGAUGGAGGGGGAUAACUACUGGAAACGGUAGCUAAUACCGCAUAACGUCGCAAGACCAAAGAGGGGGACCUUAGGGCCUCUUGCCAUCGGAUGUGCCCAGAUGGGAUUAGCUAGUAGGUGGGGUAAAGGCUCACCUAGGCGACGAUCCCUAGCUGGUCUGAGAGGAUGACCAGCCACACUGGAACUGAGACACGGUCCAGACUCCUACGGGAGGCAGCAGUGGGGAAUAUUGCACAAUGGGCGCAAGCCUGAUGCAGCCAUGCCGCGUGUAUGAAGAAGGCCUUCGGGUUGUAAAGUACUUUCAGCGGGGAGGAAGGGAGUAAAGUUAAUACCUUUGCUCAUUGACGUUACCCGCAGAAGAAGCACCGGCUAACUCCGUGCCAGCAGCCGCGGUAAUACGGAGGGUGCAAGCGUUAAUCGGAAUUACUGGGCGUAAAGCGCACGCAGGCGGUUUGUUAAGUCAGAUGUGAAAUCCCCGGGCUCAACCUGGGAACUGCAUCUGAUACUGGCAAGCUUGAGUCUCGUAGAGGGGGGUAGAAUUCCAGGUGUAGCGGUGAAAUGCGUAGAGAUCUGGAGGAAUACCGGUGGCGAAGGCGGCCCCCUGGACGAAGACUGACGCUCAGGUGCGAAAGCGUGGGGAGCAAACAGGAUUAGAUACCCUGGUAGUCCACGCCGUAAACGAUGUCGACUUGGAGGUUGUGCCCUUGAGGCGUGGCUUCCGGAGCUAACGCGUUAAGUCGACCGCCUGGGGAGUACGGCCGCAAGGUUAAAACUCAAAUGAAUUGACGGGGGCCCGCACAAGCGGUGGAGCAUGUGGUUUAAUUCGAUGCAACGCGAAGAACCUUACCUGGUCUUGACAUCCACGGAAGUUUUCAGAGAUGAGAAUGUGCCUUCGGGAACCGUGAGACAGGUGCUGCAUGGCUGUCGUCAGCUCGUGUUGUGAAAUGUUGGGUUAAGUCCCGCAACGAGCGCAACCCUUAUCCUUUGUUGCCAGCGGUCCGGCCGGGAACUCAAAGGAGACUGCCAGUGAUAAACUGGAGGAAGGUGGGGAUGACGUCAAGUCAUCAUGGCCCUUACGACCAGGGCUACACACGUGCUACAAUGGCGCAUACAAAGAGAAGCGACCUCGCGAGAGCAAGCGGACCUCAUAAAGUGCGUCGUAGUCCGGAUUGGAGUCUGCAACUCGACUCCAUGAAGUCGGAAUCGCUAGUAAUCGUGGAUCAGAAUGCCACGGUGAAUACGUUCCCGGGCCUUGUACACACCGCCCGUCACACCAUGGGAGUGGGUUGCAAAAGAAGUAGGUAGCUUAACCUUCGGGAGGGCGCUUACCACUUUGUGAUUCAUGACUGGGGUGAAGUCGUAACAAGGUAACCGUAGGGGAACCUGCGGUUGGAUCACCUCCUUACCUUA